rnacentral:lncRNA from 1 species
UUUGCUUUGUUUGUUUUAGGGUGAAGGUUCAUUUUAUGCUACAAGAAGGAAUUUGUCUCAAGGUGGAGUUUGUUGGGUUAUGAUCCAAAUUCUUGGGCUGAAGUGAAGCGGGCCGAAGCUAAGUGGCCCAUUAGCAUUUGGAGGGACUACAUCAUCUAUUAGUACCAUAUUGCUAAUAGACGAGGCUGUGGGGGUUUUCCUCCCUAUAUAUAUGCACCACCUCCCUCGUGGAAAAGACGCACCAUAGACUUCUAUACGGGAAGGCCCCAAGUUAGGGUAUCCCCAAGUUGUAAAUCUCCAUUGUAACCACACCCAGAUAUAGUGAAGAUUGUUGCUGGCUGGCGCCCGUGGUUUUUCCCUCUCGCAUUGGGAGGGUUUUCCACGUUAAAUCUCGUGUCUCUCUACGAUUGAUCUUGUUUACUUCGUCGUUCC